AGCAGUAGCCGCGGUAAUACGUAGGUGGCAAGCGUUGUCCGGAAUUAUUGGGCGUAAAGCGCGCGCAGGUGGUUUAAUAAGUCUGAUGUGAAAGCCCACGGCUCAACCGUGGAGGGUCAUUGGAAACUGUUAAACUUGAGUGCAGGAGAGAAAAGUGGAAUUCCUAGUGUAGCGGUGAAAUGCGUAGAGAUUAGGAGGAACACCAGUGGCGAAGGCGGCUUUUUGGCCUGUAACUGACACUGAGGCGCGAAAGCGUGGGGAGCAAACAGGAUUAGAUACCCGCGUAGUCCCUGUCUCUUAUAC
rnacentral:rRNA from 1 species